rnacentral:lncRNA from 10 species
UGAUGAUGUUGGUGAGUGUGUAAACAUAGAAGGUGGUGUUGCAAUAUCUACUAAAAUUUAAAAGCACACACAGCUUAAAUCUGGCAUUCUUAGUCUUUCCUUGACCACUAUAUCAAAAAAGUUCCCCCCAAUUCUGUCUCUAGCCCGUUACUUUUUUCACAUCAUACUGUAAUUUGUAAUUUUUGCCUGUUGGCUUUUAUAAGUCUGUCUCCCCCAGUAAAAUGUAAAAUUCUAUGAUGGCAAGGAGCAAGUCUAACUUGUUUCUUGGUUUAUCCUCAGUACCAGCCAUAGUGCCUAAUACAUAGAAAGCACCUGAUAUUUUCCCUUUGUUUCAAUAAUUCUAUUUUGAGGUUAGCAUUUCUAGAUGACCAAAAGGAUUCUUUUUGACCUAAUAUUCAUCUAUUUUUAGUUGAAUAUGCUACAAAUAUACUGUCACAUAUCCACAGAGGCUUUCAAUAUAGUACUCUGUGACAGUAAAAUACAGAAAAACAUCUUAACCAUCCAACAAAAUACGGUGCUUUCAUAUAAUGGAAUACUACAAGAUUAUCUAAAAGAAAGAAAGAUUCAUAUGUAUUGAUAUAAAACAUCUCCAGGAUGUAUUAAUUGAAAAGAGCAAGGUGUCAAUCCAUGUGUAUCAUGUGGUAUAGUUUGUUCUAAAAAUGGAAAUACGCACAUGUAACAGCAUGUCUAUCACCAAUAUGCCACAACACCCUUUGGCGAAAAUCUCAAGGUGGUGUGGUCCAGUAUCAGCCAUGUCACAUCCUGUGGAAGGGUAAAUGUGCCCUUCCACAUCACACUGCCCUGCCAGAUUCUAGAACCCCAUUUCCUCACCUUCAGUUCUGUGGGGGCUAAUCAGUCUUUUGAACUUUGAAAAGGGGGUUAUCCAAAUGAGAUAGUUUGGCUAGUGUUGAAUUAAAGUCUCAGGGGCCAGGCACAUAUCACUGAAUGACAACAAAGGCCUUUUAAUAGACCAUGAAUGGAGCUCACUCUGAAGUUUUCCCAAGACUGGUGCCAGCCAGUCUCUCGUUGCUAAUUCUCCUGUCCUUGUGGUCCCUCCUGAUCUGGUCUCCUCCUCAUGAGUUCUGCCAACUACCUUAUUCUUCUUCUAGUUCUUUCUCUCUUGUUAGUUCCAACUGCAUCAUUUUGUAAGUCUCCCACCAUUUCUCAGACCUUGAUCAAAGUGAAUCAUUCCACGGGGGUUCGGGCUGUGAGAAACAGCCUGCCUUUUAUCAUAUUCUGCUGGGAAAAAGUGCAAGGAACAUCACAUUCUGUGGGAACAAGAGCCAAACUGCCUCAUCGUGGGAACACCUUACCAACACAUAGCAGUACAUAGCAGCAAGCCAUACUGCCCAGACCCCUCCCACCUAGGCCUAUAAGUACCCCAGCCUGUAAGCGGUGGUGGGCACUGGCAUUAGGCUGGUUCCCCACCUCUGUAGGUGUUAUGCUGGACAUAAAGCCUGCAUUUCCUGUUGAACUGCCCUCUGUGUGUAUGUCUUUCUUUAACCCUUGUCUUCCCUUCACAACCUAACAUCUGUGUGUGUGUGUGUGUGUGUGUGUGUGUGUGUGUGUGUGUGUGUGUGAGACUAGGUCUCGCUGUUAUUCAGGCUGCUCUUGAACUCCUAGCCGUAAGCAAUUCUCCCACCUCAGUCUCCGAAAGUGCUGGGAUUACAGGCAAGCCAUCAUGCCUGGGCCUUCUUCUUUAUACCUUAUCAUUUUUUCUUUCUCUUGCUAGUCUAGGUGGCCCUAAUCUACUCAAGCACUCUGAUCUCCAUCUUUUAUAUCUCUUUUUAUGAAUAAACCCUAUAUCCUCUUAAAUUAGAAUCUGACUUCUAAUAGUCGAAGCCAAGUUUUUCUUCAAGAAAAUGUUCACUUUUAGCACAUGUACUUUCAUUAUACGUUUUUUAAAAAAGCAUUCGAAACUGUAGUACGCGUCUAUGGUUGUCUAUCCCCCUUGCCCAAAAUUACCCUGAUUUUCAUUCAAGAAUCCAUUCCUCUAUAACUGGUCUAUGACUCCACAGAUAAGCCAUUCUAUUUCCUAAGCAACAACACUUGUUUUGAGUGGGCAUGUGACCCAAGCUUAUCCCAUUAUGGUGAAUCUCUGGAUUCUUGUUUGGAUUAGCAACUAAGAAAUGUUCUCUCUUCAGAGAUGGACCAGAAAAAAGAUAACCAAAAUCAGGAGCUUUGGCAGCCUUUUUGUUAUAUAAGGGAAACCAGCCCAAGGAAAAUGACCCUUGGAAAAAAAGUGGAGAAGAAAGCCAAUGUCCAAUUAAAGCCAUGCAGAAAAUCCAUCCUUCUUCUAGACUUUUCAUUUGAUGCAAGAGCUCUCUUCUC